CUCAUGGACUGCUUAGAACAACAGUUUCAAAUAGAAGGCAAAAAAGAUGGAGAAUUGGUCAUAUAUCAACUAUGGAUUAGAGUCAAGACUUGAACUGACAGAAGUCUUUCUCAAUCCAGGACCAGGGACAAGAUGACUUGGAAGAACUUUGACCUGCACUUCGCCUAUCUGCCUAGGCAACAGUGUUAUUUACUUAGUUCCCAUUUGCAAGCUGAUUUUGUGUGAAUAAGGAAAGAGUCCAGAUUGGUCUGUAGAUUUCUAACAGAGAUUGGAACACUGGGGAGGUUGAGAAAAUAUUACCAACUUUGACUUCCAAAUCACUUUAAUAUGAUAGGAAAACUGCAUUUCUAAGCACAAAUGAAUGUUAUCUUGGAAUUUUAAUUCUAGACAUUAAAAGGGAUGGGGGAGGAGCAAGAAAUCUCCCUUCCAGAAUGAGAAUUUGCCAAACUCUAUGGCCUUGGCUGACUAAAGGCUAACUAUCAUUAGUCAUUUCUAAAUUAGAUACUGCUCACAUCAGUUAUAUUUGUGUGAGAUUGAAUUGGGAUUCAAAUAGUCCUUAGUGGUGACAAGUAAUUCACAAAAAUUGAACCUGCAGACCUCAAUUGCUAUUUCUCUUUAUGCUCCUACUGAUCAUACCAAAAAACAACCACCACAACAUAAAAAUCUACCACCAACAACAGCAAUUGGAAGUAAUGAAUUUUGAGGUAUAGAGGAUAGAGAGCUUGCCUUGGAAACAGAAGGAUUCUGAUACUGACUCUGUCACAUACUGGUUUUGUGACCCAGAACAAAUUAUUUGAUUUCUCAGGGUCUGAAGAACUUUCUAAAUCUAUCAAGUGCAGGACGUUAAUGAUAUAUAUUGAUAUAAGAAGACUCCUCAUUGGAAUAUUCCUACACCAAUGAAUAUGCAUACAACUGAGGAUACCUGUGACUAUCCUGUGAAGAUCAGAAGUAAAGAAAGAGAAUAAACAACUAAUUGAAUCCUGGGAGUACUAUCAAAAUACCACCAUGACCAUUCCCACCACCCACCCACACACACACACACACACACACACACACAUCCCUCUGUUUGGGGAGAGACUACUUUUUCUUGAGAAAAGCUAUGUAUACUGUAGGCACAUUCCUUUCUCUGGCUGAUCUGCUUCCUUUCCUCUCCCAUUUUUGGAAUUUUCUAUACCUAGAAUAUUCUCUGCUAGAAAAGACCAUGCUCUCUCAUUUUAUACUCUCCCUUAUGUCUCUUUAUCUAUGACAUCAGAGAUGGAAAAUUUAUCAAGUACACCUAAAAGAGUACUCCUUUUACAAACACAUAUGCAGCACAGAGAUACAUAUGUACUUGCCUCCUCUUGUAAAAGCUUGUGUCUUUUCCAGGGUUGUUGAACUGUCUUAUUAUAUGUACAUAGUAUUUUGUCCAGAAAUAACAAUGAUAAGAUCCUGUGAUAAUCUGGUUAGCAUGUACCUUUUGAAAAAUCAUAAUAGAUAAGUUUUUUAUUUCUGCUAUAACCUAAAGAUCAUCUCAUUUGAGGCUUGAAGAUAUCUCUGAAUUGGCUAUAUCAUAGGUGUAUUCUAUGUUCCCCAUUGGCUGGAAAGAACUGGAAUAAAGACACUUUGAUCAGUUUCCUACCAAAAGUCUUACCUUCCUCUGUCCUAUAUCUUCUUCUCAUCAAAUUUCCACCCAAUACAGCUCUGAAAGAUAGAACAAAAACAUC